rnacentral:misc_RNA from 1 species
GAUGAAGAACGUAGUGAAGUGCGAUAAGUAGUGUGAAUUGCAGAAUUUCGUGAAUCAUCGAAUCUUUGAACGCAAAUUGCACUCUCCGGUUUUCCGGGAGAGUAUGCCUGUUUGAGGGUCAGCCUAAAUAAAUUCGGCUUCGUUGCUGUGCUUCGCGGUAACGUUUUGUCGGAAAUUGGGUCAUCUUAAACCGAAAGGUUUUUUAAGAGACUUAAAAUUUUUUUUUUACGAUCCCACGAACGUUUCUAAGAUCUUCUUACACGUUCAAGGCGUCGAAUACUUCUAUUAGGCGUGGCCGUCGUAUCGGAUCGCGUCCAUAAUAUUUAUUCUUUAACUGACCUCAGACAGGUAAGAAUACCCGCUGAACUUAAGCAUAUCAAUAAGCGGAGGA